rfam:Picea glauca, whole genome shotgun sequence.
AUGUAAAUGCCUACAACAUAGCGUUAAUGCACUCGAUCCCAUUAGAACUCCAUAGUUAAGUGCGCUCGGGAUAGAGUAGUACUGGGAUGGGUGACCACCCAGGAAGUCCUAGUAUUUUUCAUG